AUAGCAAUGAGGUAGCUCCUGCCUACCCACCCAAUCCAUCCAGCUAUGUACAGGAACAAGAUGCCGGGUGUGAUAAACUCACCCCAGUGUCUUUGGUCACCGCUCACUAUCAAGUGCGGCAAUCCGUCGGAACCGCACAACAGCCCUUGGUUACCGUAGUUCUCGAACCUGUAUUGUAUCAACUAUCAUCACCCAAUUUUUUAUUUUUUUUACAUGAAUGCAUCUAAUGGAGUCAUCUUUUUUCUGUUAAUGUGGUCAGAUUUUAAAUUGAUGUGCGCUUCUCUUGAGAGUUUAUUGCAACUAGACCCCAGAGUUAUAUCGAAUUGCUAGAAAACUACCCUAUGUUAUUUUAUAUUAGCAAGAAAGCACCUAUGAUUUUUUUUUAGCAACUAGUAAUCCUGUUUAGGGGGUUGUGUGCUAAAAAAAAUUGAAUCGUAGGGGGUUUUUGCUAAUAAAAUAACAUGGGGCAGUAUUUUAGAAAUUCGAUAUAAGACAGGGGUACUAAUUGCAAUAAACUCGAGCUUCUGUUAAGAAAAAAAUGAUUAAUUUUGUGGAUCGAGAUUAAUCGUAUGAAUAAGUAUGAUUAAUUAAUUAAAUACCUGCGCUUGGUCUUGGCAAUGGUGGCGUUGAUGGCGAGAGCGGGAGCGCUGUCAGGUGCGUAAAGCUUGAGGGAAGACUCGAGCUUUUUGAUCUCCUGCUUCUCGCGCUUGGCGAACUGUUUGGACUCUUUGCAGGGAGUGAGGCCGGAGAUAUCGGCGGAGGCAGGGAGGACGGGGGCGGAGAGAAUGAUGGAAGAGAGGGCAAGCGCCGCCGAGAACGCCUUGAGCUGAGAAUUAGCUGA
rnacentral:lncRNA from 1 species